UACGGAGGGGGACUAGCGUUGCUCGGAAUACUGGGCGUAAAGCGCACGUAGGCGGAUUGUAAGUCAGGGGUGAAAUCCCGGGCUCAACCUCGAACUGCCUUGAUACUGCAGUCUCGAGUCCGGGAAGAGGUGAGUGGAAUUCGUAGUGUAGAGGUGAAAUUCGUAGAUAUUAGGAAGAACACCAGUGGCGAAGGCGGCUCACUGGCCGGUACUGACGCUGAGGUGCGAAAGCGUGGGGAGCAAA
rnacentral:rRNA from 1 species